AUUGAACGCUGGCGGCAGGCCUAACACAUGCAAGUCGAGCGGAUGAAGGGAGCUUGCUCCUGGAUUCAGCGGCGGACGGGUGAGUAAUGCCUAGGAAUCUGCCUGGUAGUGGGGGAUAACGUCCGGAAACGGGCGCUAAUACCGCAUACGUCCUGAGGGAGAAAGUGGGGGAGCUUCGGACCUCACGCUCUCAGAUGAGCCUAGGUCGGAUUAGCUAGUUGGUGGGGUAAAGGCCUACCAAGGCGACGAUCCGUAACUGGUCUGAGAGGAUGAUCAGUCACACUGGAACUGAGACACGGUCCAGACUCCUACGGGAGGCAGCAGUGGGGAAUAUUGGACAAUGGGCGAAAGCCUGAUCCAGCCAUGCCGCGUGUGUGAAGAAGGUCUUCGGAUUGUAAAGCACUUUAAGUUGGGAGGAAGGGCAGUAAGUUAAUACCUUGCUGUUUUGACGUUACCAACAGAAUAAGCACCGGCUAACUUCGUG
rnacentral:rRNA from 1 species